GACGCUACGGACUUAAAAUCCGUCGACUUUAUAAGUCGUGAGGGUUCAAGUCCCUCUAUCCCCA
rnacentral:tRNA from 10 species